UCAUAUGUUGGAUGAAACUCUAGAACAAAAGUCGAGUAAAAGAUUCUAAGGAAAUUACCCAAAUGGCCAACAAAUGCAGUAUCUACUAAUAAAUUGCAAAAAUCAAAAAAAUAUUCUAAGGAAACCCACACAGCCUCUAAAAACCAAAAUAAAUUGCAAAAAUUGAGAAGAAAUGGUUACCACGGAUUCACGAGAAGAGGAUUCAAUAAUGGCGGUGAGAUGGUUUCUGUUGGGACUGAGCAAAAAAUUGGUCGGACUGAGCAGUCAACUGCCUUACGGUGAGUUGGUUUCUGUUGGGGGACUCAACCUUGAUGUGAACAAGAAGAUAAUGGUGAUGGAGGUGAGAUGAAUGGAUUGGUGAGCCGGUGACGGUGGUGAGAAUGGAGGGUGCGGCUGCGAUUGUGGAAGGAGGAAAGGAAAGACCGAAAAAGGAAAGAAAAAAUUAGGGAUGGCGACUGGCGGUGAGAUAGUGGACGGAUAGAUGAUGGUCCUGAUAGAGGUGAGAUGAUGGAUGAAUUGGAGAAUGGUGAAUCGGUGACGGUGGUGAGAAUAGAGGGUGCGGGCGUGCGGCUGCGG
rnacentral:lncRNA from 1 species